CAUCAGUGGCGAAGGCGGCUAACUGGUAUAACACUGACGCUGAGGUACGAAAGCGUGGGGAGCAAACGGGAUUAGAUACCCCCGGUAGUCCACGCCCUAAACGAUGAGAACUAGCUGUUGGUUGCGUAAAUGCAGUCAGUAGCGAAGCUAACGCGUUAAGUUCUCCGCCUGGGGAGUACGACCGCAAGGUUGAAACUCAAAGGAAUUGACGGGGGCCCGCACAAGCGGUGGAGCAUGUGGUUUAAUUCGAUGCAACGCGAAGAACCUUACCAUCCCUUGACAUCCUCAGAAUUUGUCGUAAUGACUUAGUGCCUUCGGGAACUGAGAGACAGGUGCUGCACGGCUGUCGUCAGCUCGUGUCGUGAGAUGUUGGGUUAAGUCCCGCAACGAGCGCAACCCCUAUCCUUAUUUGCCAGCACGUAAUGGUGGGAACUCUAAGGAGACUGCCGGUGAUAAGCCGGAGGAAGGUGGGGACGACGUCAAGUCAUCAUGGCCCUUACGGGAUGGGCUACACACGUGCUACAAUGGUGCAUACAGAGGGUUGCCAACCAGCGAUGGGGAGCUAAUCCCAGAAAGUGCAUCUUAGUCCGGAUCGCAGUCUGCAACUCGACUGCGUGAAGUUGGAAUCGCUAGUAAUCGCGAAUCAGCAACGUCGCGGUGAAUACGUUCCCGGGCCU
rnacentral:rRNA from 1 species